CUAAUUUUUAAUUGAAAAUUUAUAUGUGAUCCCUACGUACGAUCUUUGAAUUUUUUUACACACUUAAUUAUAAAGUAUGAAGAAAUAGUGCUCAUUAAAAAAAGUUCUAAUUACUAAUUGUUUGAGGUACACCCCCCUUUUUCGGCUAAAAUGACUAUACUAAUAGGUGAUUCUUUGAGUAGACUACUCCACAUUACACAGCAGUAAUUGCUAGUUCAUGAUUGCCAAUCUGUGCAUAAUGAAAAUGAGGAGAUAGAGCCAAACCACGGAUUAGCUUUGGAUAUUGAGGACUCACCACCACUCAGCCAAAAUUGUUAGUUGAGGAUUUCAAAACCACAGUGUAAUGGGUAAAGGGGAUUUAAAAAGUCUAAUAGCCUAUAAGGGAGGCGUCGUUUUCUUCGUUCCCCCCGACUUGCAGCUCGUCGAUAAUGAUUUUCGCUUCUUGAAUGGAUUACGGUGUGAAGCAAAGGUCAAAUAUUCGUUGGACCUAUACGUUGGACUCUGCACUGACAGCCAGACACUCGUCGAGCAUACUAUGUGCGUGAUAAUUACCUGCCUUGAAAACUGAGCGGAUGACUCUAGCUCUUUCAUAUUUUAUUCUUGCGUUACUAACUUUGAUAAAAGAAAAUUGAAAAAAAUUGAAAAGCUGUCUACAUAAA